CUCGUAGGUGGCCAACUAAGUCGGACGUGAAAUCCCUCGGCUUAACCGGGGAACUGCGUCCGAUACUGGUUGGCUUGAGUUUGGGAGAGGGAUGCGGAAUUCCAGGUGUAGCGGUGAAAUGCGUAGAUAUCAGGAGGAACACCGGUGGCGAAGGCGGCAUCCUGGACCAAUACUGACGCUGAGGAGCGAAAGCCAGGGGAGCAAACG
rnacentral:rRNA from 1 species